rnacentral:rRNA from 1 species
UACGUAGGGGGCAAGCGUUGUUCGGAUUUAUUGGGCGGAAAGAGCGUGUAGGCGGUUUGGUAGGUCCGUUGUGAAAACUCGAGGCUCAACCUCGAGACGCCGAUGGAAACCAUCAGACUAGAGUCCGGAAGAGGAGAGUGGAAUUCCUGGUGUAGCGGUGAAAUGCGCAGAUAUCAGGAAGAACACCCGUGGCUAAGGCGGCUCUCUAGUACGGUACUGACGCUGAGACGCGAAAGCGUGGGGAGCGAACAGG